GCCGGGCGCCGUGGCUUGUGCCUGUGAUCCCAGCUGCUGGGGAGGCUGAGGCUGGCGGAUUGCUUGAGCUCAGGAGUUCUGGGCUGUAGUGAGCUAUGCCGAUCGGGUGUCCGCACUAAGUUUGGCAUCAAUAUGGUGAUCUUGGGGUCACCAGGUUGCCUAAGGAGGGAUGAACCGGCCCAGGUCAGAAAUGGAGCAGGUCAAAACUCCCGUGCCGAUCAGUAGUGGGAUCAUGCCUGUAAAUAGCCCCUGCAGCGUAGCCUGGGCAAGACAGUGAGACACGGUCUCUU
rnacentral:SRP_RNA from 1 species